GAUGAACGCUGGCGGCGUGCCUAAUACAUGCAAGUCGAGCGAAUGGAUUAAGAGCUUGCUCUUAUGAAGUUAGCGGCGGACGGGUGAGUAACACGUGGGUAACCUGCCCAUAAGACUGGGAUAACUCCGGGAAACCGGGGCUAAUACCGGAUAACAUUUUGAACCGCAUGGUUCGAAAUUGAAAGGCGGCUUCGGCUGUCACUUAUGGAUGGACCCGCGUCGCAUUAGCUAGUUGGUGAGGUAACGGCUCACCAAGGCAACGAUGCGUAGCCGACCUGGGAGGGUGAUCGGCCACGCUGGGACGGAGGCACGGCCCAGACUCCUACGGGAGGCAGCAGUAGGGAAUCUUCCGCAAUGGACGAAAGUCUGACGGAGGAACGCCGCGUGAGUGACGAAGGCUUUCGGGUCGUAAAACUCUGUUGUUAGGGAAGAACAAGUGCUAGUUGAAUAAGCUGGCACCUUGACGGUACCUAACCAGAAAGCCACGGCUAACUACGUGCCAGCCGCCGCGGUAA
rnacentral:rRNA from 1 species